rnacentral:rRNA from 1 species
AACGAACGCUGGCGGCAGGCUUAACACAUGCAAGUCGAGCGCGUAGCAAUACGAGCGGCAGACGGGUGAGUAACGCGUGGGAAUCUACCCAACCCUACGGAAUAACGCAUGGAAACGUGUGCUAAUACCGUAUACGCCCUUAGGGGGAAAGAUUUAUCGCCCUGAGAUAAGCCCGCGUAGGAUUAGCUAGUUGGUGAGGUAAAGGCUCACCAAGGCGACGAUCCUUAGCUGGUCUGAGAGGAUGAUCAGCCACACUGGGACUGAGACACGGCCCAGACUCCUACGGGAGGCAGCAGUGGGGAAUAUUGGACAAUGGGCGAAAGCCUGAUCCAGCAAUGCCGCGUGAGUGAUGAAGGCCUUAGGGUUGUAAAGCUCUUUACCCGUAGAUGAUAAUGACAGUAUCGGGAGAAUAAGCUCCGGCUAACUCCGUGCCAGCAGCCGCGGUAAUGUCGUAGGAU